AGGACUAAGAAUUCUAGAUUCUAUGUUGUAAAGUUCUAUUCUAUAUUCUAGGGUUCUCUUCCAUAACACAGGGAUGACAUGACUGGCCUUGAAGUCCCAAGUUGGGGACUAGCACUUGCUAUGGAGAAUCCAACCCUGACUGGCAAUGCCAAUAGCUCUGGGCUCUUCCAGGUACACAGCAGUGAUAUUGUGACUUCUGAAACAGAAGUCCUGAGAAGUCUCAGAAAAUGUGCACCUAGUGCUAACUCAGCAGUGAUCUCAGACUGCUUGAUCAAUGCCUUGGUGGUCCCCUAUUGAUUGAGGAGAAUCAAAAGACUUUCAUAUUCAUUGACUCGUCAUCCGCCUCAUCUCUUUCAAAGCUGCUGUGUCAUGUCAGGUUGUGUUAGUCACCAUGACCUAUGUCUAUGUGGGACUCCGUGAGAAAGAAUCAUAGCCACUGGAGAGAAUCCACGUAGACUUCCAACAAGGAGGCAAGAGAGUACAUACUUCCAAAUUAUCCAUGACCAUGAAACAAACAAACAAACAAACAAAACCCCAAGGCAAACCAAGAAAAAUGCAGAUUUUACAGUCUCAUAAAAACUUCCUGUUUGUUUUUCUCUUUUGACCGAUAAUUAGCACUUUGGAAAUACAAUUGCUCUAGAGUGUGGUCGGCUUAAAACAUUCCUAGUCAUCCUGUCCUUUGGUCAUAGUCAUCUGAUUCUGGCAAUAGCGGAGAUACGCUUGUGAAAUUAAUAUCUGUCUGUUCUGCAGUUCUCACUAUUUUUUUCCUCUAGUGCAUAUUUCUCACUGUGAAGUUACAUGACCAUUUUGACCAGUCCAAGUUAACAUGAGCAUUCUUCAUGCACACAAAAGUGUGUGGUUUAUAAAUAAUCAGAAAUACCUU